CGGGACAGAAGGAUGCUGUGAUCCACAGUAUCAAAAGCGGCGGACAAGUCUAAAAGCAGAAGGACAGCAGAUCUUCCUGCAUCAACAGUUAAAAGAAGGUCGUUAAAAACUUUUAAAAGGGCAGUUUCAGUGCUGUACAAUUCAGAUGAUACAAAACUCAUU